rnacentral:rRNA from 1 species
CAGCAGCCACGGUAAUACGUAGGUGGCAAGCGUUGUCCGGAAUUAUUGGGCGUAAAGGGCUCGCAGGCGGUUUCUUAAGUCUGAUGUGAAAGCCCCCGGCUCAACCGGGGAGGGUCAUUGGAAACUGGGAAACUUGAGUGCAGAAGAGGAGGGUGGAAUUCCACGUGUAGCGGUGAAAUGCGUUGAGAUCGGAAAGAACACCAACGGCGAAAGCACUCUGCUGGGCCGACACUGACACUGAGAGACGAAAGCUAGGGGAGCAAAUGGGAUUAGAUACCCCAGUAGUCCCUGUCUCUUAUAC